AAGACAACUUUCAGCAAUGGAUCUCUUGGCUCUUGCAUCGAUGAAGAACGCAGCGAAAUGCGAUACGUAAUGUGAAUUGCAGAACGCGAGUCAUCGAAAUUUUGAACGCACAUUGCACUUGGUGGCAUUCCGCCAAGUAUGUUUGUUUGAGUGUCUGUG
rnacentral:rRNA from 1 species